rnacentral:rRNA from 1 species
UACGUAGGGUGCAAGCGUUUAAUCGGAAUUACUGGGCGUAAAGCGUGCGCAGGCGGUUAUGCAAGACAGAGGUGAAAUCCCCGGGCUCAACCUGGGAACUGCCUUGUGACUGCAUAGCUAGAGUACGGUAGAGGGGAUGGAAUUCCGCGUGUAGCAGUGAAAUGCGUAGAUAUGCGGAGGAACACCGAUGGCGAAGGCAAUCCCUGGACCUGUACUGACGCUCAUGCACGAAAGCGUGGGGAGCAACAGG